GACGAACGCUGGCGGCGUGCCUGAUACAUGCAAGUAGAACGCUGAAGAGAGGAGCUUGCUCUUCUUGGAUGAGUUGCGAACGGGUGAGUAACGCGUAGGUAACCUGCCUUGUAGCGGGGGAUAACUAUUGGAAACGAUAGCUAAUACCGCAUAACAAUGGAUGACACAUGUCAUUUAUUUGAAAGGGGCAAUUGCUCCACUACAAGAUGGACCUGCGUUGUAUUAGCUAGUAGGUGAGGUAAUGGCUCACCUAGGCGACGAUACAUAGCCGACCUGAGAGGGUGAUCGGCCACACUGGGACUGAGACACGGCCCAGACUCCUACGGGAGGCAGCAGUAGGGAAUCUUCGGCAAUGGGGGCAACCCUGACCGAGCAACGCCGCGUGAGUGAAGAAGGUUUUCGGAUCGUAAAGCUCUGUUGUAAGUCAAGAACGGGUGUGAGAGUGGAAAGUUCACACUGUGACGGUAGCUUACCAGAAAGGGACGGCUAACUACGU
rnacentral:rRNA from 1 species